rnacentral:rRNA from 1 species
AACGUAGGUGGCGAGCGUUAUCCGGAUUUACUGGGCGUAAAGGGUGUGCAGGCGGGCUGUUAAGUGGUGUAUGAAAUCGCCGGGCUCAACCGGGCGAGGUUAUGCCAGACUGGCAGUCUAGAGAGCGAGAGAGGGACGUGGAAUUCCGGGUGUAGUGGUGAAAUGCGUAGAGAUCCGGAGGAACCCCAGAGGCGAAGGCGGCGUCCUGGCUCGCAUCUGACGCUCAGGCACGACAGCAUGGGGAGCGAACGGG